rnacentral:rRNA from 1 species
AAAUUGAAGAGUUUGAUCAUGGCUCAGAUUGAACGCUGGCGGCAGGCCUAACACAUGCAAGUCGAACGGUAACAGGAAGCAGCUUGCUGCUUUGCUGACGAGUGGCGGACGGGUGAGUAAUGUCUGGGAAACUGCCUGAUGGAGGGGGAUAACUACUGGAAACGGUGGCUAAUACCGCAUAACGUCGCAAGACCAAAGAGGGGGACCUUCGGGCCUCUUGCCAUCAGAUGUGCCCAGAUGGGAUUAGCUGGUUGGUGAGGUAACGGCUCACCAAGGCGACGAUCCCUAGCUGGUCUGAGAGGAUGACCAGCCACACUGGAACUGAGACACGGUCCAGACUCCUACGGGAGGCAGCAGUGGGGAAUAUUGCACAAUGGGCGCAAGCCUGAUGCAGCCAUGCCGCGUGUAUGAAGAAGGCCUUCGGGUUGUAAAGUACUUUCAGCGGGGAGGAAGGUGUUGCGGUUAAUAACCGCAGCAAUUGACGUUACCCGCAGAAGAAGCACCGGCUAACUCCGUGCCAGCAGCCGCGGUAAUACGGAGGGUGCAAGCGUUAAUCGGAAUUACUGGGCGUAAAGCGCACGCAGGCGGUCUGUCAAGUCGGAUGUGAAAUCCCCGGGCUCAACCUGGGAACUGCAUUCGAAACUGGCAGGCUUGAGUCUUGUAGAGGGGGGUAGAAUUCCAGGUGUAGCGGUGAAAUGCGUAGAGAUCUGGAGGAAUACCGGUGGCGAAGGCGGCCCCCUGGACAAAGACUGACGCUCAGGUGCGAAAGCGUGGGGAGCAAACAGGAUUAGAUACCCUGGUAGUCCACGCCGUAAACGAUGUCUACUUGGAGGUUGUGCCCUUGAGGCGUGGCUUCCGGAGCUAACGCGUUAAGUAGACCGCCUGGGGAGUACGGCCGCAAGGUUAAAACUCAAAUGAAUUGACGGGGGCCCGCACAAGCGGUGGAGCAUGUGGUUUAAUUCGAUGCAACGCGAAGAACCUUACCUGGUCUUGACAUCCACGGAAGUUUUCAGAGAUGAGAAUGUGCCUUCGGGAACCGUGAGACAGGUGCUGCAUGGCUGUCGUCAGCUCGUGUUGUGAAAUGUUGGGUUAAGUCCCGCAACGAGCGCAACCCUUAUCCUUUGUUGCCAGCGGUCCGGCCGGGAACUCAAAGGAGACUGCCAGUGAUAAACUGGAGGAAGGUGGGGAUGACGUCAAGUCAUCAUGGCCCUUACGACCAGGGCUACACACGUGCUACAAUGGCGCAUACAAAGAGAAGCGACCUCGCGGGAGCAAGCGGACCUCAUAAAGUGCGUCGUAGUCCGGAUUGGAGUCUGCAACUCGACUCCAUGAAGUCGGAAUCGCUAGUAAUCGUGGAUCAGAAUGCCACGGUGAAUACGUUCCCGGGCCUUGUACACACCGCCCGUCACACCAUGGGAGUGGGUUGCAAAAGAAGUAGGUAGCUUAACCUUCGGGAGGGCGCUUACCACUUUGUGAUUCAUGACUGGGGUGAAGUCGUAACAAGGUAACCGUAGGGGAACCUGCGGUUGGAUCACCUCCUUACCUUAAAGAAGC